GAUGAACGCUGGCGGAGUGCCUAAUACAUGCAAGUCGAGCGAACGGACGAGAAGCUUGCUUUUCUGAUGUUAGCGGCGGACGGGUGAGUAACACGUGGAUAACCUACCUAUAAGACUGGGAUAACUUCGGGAAACCGGAGCUAAUACCGGAUAAUAUUUUGAACCGCAUGGUUCAAAAGUGAAAGACGGUCUUGCUGUCACUUAUAGAUGGAUCCGCGCUGCAUUAGCUAGUUGGUAAGGUAACGGCUUACCAAGGCAACGAUGCAUAGCCGACCUGAGAGGGUGAUCGGCCACACUGGAACUGAGACACGGUCCAGACUCCUACGGGAGGCAGCAGUAGGGAAUCUUCCGCAAUGGGCGAAAGCCUGACGGAGCAACGCCGCGUGAGUGAUGAAGGUCUUCGGAUCGUAAAACUCUGUUAUUAGGGAAGAACAUAUGUGUAAGUAACUGUGCACAUCUUGACGGUACCUAAUCAGAAAGCCACGGCUAACUACGUG
rnacentral:rRNA from 1 species